rnacentral:rRNA from 1 species
GACGAACGCUGGCGGCGUGCCUAAUACAUGCAAGUCGAACGCUUCUUUCCUCCCGAGUGCUUGCACUCAAUUGGAAAGAGGAGUGGCGGACGGGUGAGUAACACGUGGGUAACCUACCCAUCAGAGGGGGAUAACACUUGGAAACAGGUGCUAAUACCGCAUAACAGUUUAUGCCGCAUGGCAUAAGAGUGAAAGGCGCUUUCGGGUGUCGCUGAUGGAUGGACCCGCGGUGCAUUAGCUAGUUGGUGAGGUAACGGCUCACCAAGGCCACGAGGCAGAGCCGGCCGGAGAGGGUGGUCGACCACACUGGGACUGAGACACGGCCCAGACUCCUACGGGAGGCAGCAGUAGGGAAUCUUCGGCAAUGGACGAAAGUCUGACCGAGCAACGCCGCGUGAGUGAAGAAGGUUUUCGGAUCGUAAAACUCUGUUGUUAGAGAAGAACAAGGACGUUAGUAACUGAACGUCCCCUGACGGUAUCUAACCAGAAAGCCACGGCUAACUACGUGCCAGCCGCCGCCUAA